AACAUCACUUUUACCAGGAACUCCCCGUUAUGACUUCCAGAUAUACCCACCUCAUCCCCAACCAGUAAUAUACCCACUCCUUCACAGUAAAAUGUUAAUGAACAAUCCUUAAACAGAAUACUUAGUUCUGCUGUUUACCUCCACUCUCUCUGCUAACUCUAGUUUUGGAAAUCUUGCAGCUAAGUCCUGAUCACCCAUGGCUUCGAGAGGGUGGCGAAGCAUUGGACAAGUCAGCAAACAGUGCGGUUCUUUCUAGGAUGAGGCAGUUCAGAGCUAUGAACAAGCUCAAGAAGCUUGCACUCAAGGCUGAUGUCGAUAGUAACGGGACAAUCGAUUACAUGGAAUUUAUAGCUGCGAUGAUACAUCGAUACACACUGGAGAGG